AUUGAACGCUGGCGGCAGGCCUAACACAUGCAAGUCGAACGAGUGGCGGACGGGUGAGUAAUGUCUGGGAAACUGCCUGGUGGAGGGGGAUAAAUACUGGACACGGUCGCUAAUACCGCAUACCCUCAGAUGUCCCCAGGUGGGAUUAGCUUGUUGGUGGGGUAACGGCUCACCAAGGCGACGCUCCCUAGCUGGUCUGAGAGGAUGACCAGCCACACUGGAACUGAGACACGGUCCAGACUCCUACGGGAGGCAGCAGUGGGGAAUAUUGCACAAUGGGCGCAAGCCUGAUGCAGCCAUGCCGCGUGUAUGAAGAAGGCCUUCGGGUUGUAAAGUACUUUCAGCGGGGAGGCGUUACCCGCAGAAGAAGCACCGGCUAACUCCGUGCCAGCAGCCGCGGUAAUUC
rnacentral:rRNA from 1 species